rnacentral:rRNA from 1 species
GAUGAACGCUGGCGGCGUGCUUAACACAUGCAAGUCGAACGGAAAGGCCCUGCUUUUGUGCGGUGCUCGAGUGGCGAACGGGUGAGAAACACGUGAGUAACCUGCCCUUGACUUUGGGAUAACUUCAGGAAACUGGGGCUAAUAUCGGAUAUAAGCACCUGCUCCGUGGUGGGCAAUGGAAAGUGUCGGCGGUUGGGGCUGUACUCGCGGGUUAUCAGCUUGUUGGUGGGGUAGUGGCUUACCACGGCUUUGACGGGUACCCCGCCUGAGAGGGUGAUCGGCGGCCUUGGAAGUGAGCCACGGACCAGGGUACUACGGGAGGGAGCAGUCGGGAAUGGUAGGCAAUGGUGGGAAGCCUGACACAGUGGGGCCACGUGUGAGACAGCAACGUUGGGUGUGUGAUGAGCGUUUUCGGGGUGUGAACAGCUUUCUCUUGAGACGAGGCGUUAGUGACGGUAACGGAUAAAGAAGCACCGGCUAACUACGUG